GACGGGGGGUCCUAGCGUUGUUCGGAAUCAUUGGGCGUAAAGCGUGUGCAGGUGGCUCUGUAAGUCAGAUGUGAAAGCCCCGGGCUUAACUCGGGAAGUGCAUUUGAAACUACAGAACCUGAAUAUGGAAGAGGGUCGUGGAAUUCCUGGUGUAGUGGUGAAAUACGUAGAUAUCAGGAGGAACACCGGUGGCGAAGGCGGCGACCUGGUCCAAUAUUGACACUCAUACACGAAAGCGCGGGGAUCAAACAGG
rnacentral:rRNA from 1 species